GCGGCGGCGAAAGCCGAAGUGGUACGAAAAUCCGUAGGGCCGCAAGGCUCGUGCCGGUUCGACCCCGGCCGCCCGCACCA
rnacentral:tRNA from 1 species